GAUGAAGAACGUAGCGAAAUGCGAUAAGUAGUGUGAAUUGCAGAAUUCAGUGAAUCAUCGAAUCUUUGAACGCACAUUGCGCCCUUUUGUAUUCCAAAGGGCAUGCCUGUUCGAGCGUCAUUUGUACCCUCAAGCUUUGCUUGGUGUUGGGCGUCUUGUCUCUAGCUUUGCUGGAGACUCGCCUUAAAGUAAUUGGCAGCCGGCCUACUGGUUUCGGAGCGCAGCACAAGUCGCACUCUCUAUCAGCAAAGGUCUAGCAUCCAUUAAGCCUUUUUUUCAACUUUUGACCUCGGAUCAGGUAGGGAUACCCGCUGAACUUAAGCAUAUCAAUAAGCGGAGGA
rnacentral:misc_RNA from 1 species